UACGUAGGUGGCAAGCGUUGUCCGGAUUUACUGGGCGUAAAGAGCGCGCAGGCGGUCGCUUAAGUCGAAUGUGAAAGCCCCCGGCUCAACUGGGGAGGGUCAUUCGAUACUGAUCGACUUGAAGGCAGGAGAGGGAAGUGGAAUUCCGGGUGUAGUGGUGAAAUGCGUAGAUAUCCGGAGGAACACCAGUGGCGAAGGCGACUUCCUGGCCUGUUCUUGACGCUGAGGCGCGAAAGCUGGGGGAGCAAACGGG
rnacentral:rRNA from 1 species